CCUACGGGUGGCAGCAGUGGGGAAUAUUGGGCAAUGGACGAAACUCUGACCCAGCAACGCCGCGUGAAUGAAGAAGGUCUUCGGAUCGUAAAGUUCUGUAGGCAGGGAAGAAUAAACUGACGGUUACUGAAGAAUAAGCUCCUGGUAACUACAUGCGAGCAGCCGCGUAAAUACGUAGGGAGCAAGCGUGGUUCGGAGUGACUGGGCGUAAAGAGUGCGUAGGCGGGUAUACAAGUUCGAAGUGAAAUACCCAGGGCUUAACUCGGGUGCUGCUUCUAAAACUGUAAGACUUGAGUGCAGUAGAGGUUAGUGGAAUUCCUAGUGUAGCAGUGGAAUGCGUAGAUAUUAGGAGGAACACCAGAGGCGAAGGCGGCUAACUGGACUGCAACUGACGCUGAGGCACGAAAGUGUGGGGAGCAAACAGGAUUAGAUACCCUUGUAGUC
rnacentral:rRNA from 1 species